rnacentral:rRNA from 1 species
GACGAACGCUGGCGGCGUGCUUAACACAUGCAAGUCGAACGGUGAAGCGCCUUCCUUUUUGGUGGGUGUGGAUGAGUGGCGAACGGGUGAGUAACACGUGAGUAACCUUCCCCCUUCUGCUGGAUAACCGCAUGAAAGUGUGGCUAAUACGGGAUAUUCUGGGUCUGUCUCAUGCUGGGUCUGGGAAAGAUGUUGUUUCGGUGGGGGCUGGGCUCGCGGCCUAUCAGGUUGUUGGUGGGGUGGUGGCCUACCAAGGCGGGGACGGGUAGCCGGCCUGAGAGGGUGGCCGGGCAGACCGGGGAGGAGGCACGGCCCAGACUGGUACGGGACGCAGCCGUGGGGAAUACGGGACAAUGGGGGAGAGCAUAAUGCAGCGUCGGCGCGUGCGUGAUGGAGCCCUGCGGGGUGUGAGCCUCUUGCGCUAGUGAAGCAGGCCUGCCUUGUUUGUGGGUGGAUUGACGGUAGCUGGAGAAGAAGCUCCGGCUAACUACGUG